rnacentral:snoRNA from 1 species
GGCCUCCUGGUGCUUACCACAGGCUGUGUUCGACUCUGGGGACCAGAUACAUACAGGGAGAAACUGGGCUGUCUAGUAUUGAGGCAGAGUAAACUUACCCCGUAUACACCUCAGCUCAGGCUCUUUGCCUGGUCUGUAUUGUGAAUGGGGAGACAUUG